rnacentral:rRNA from 1 species
UACGAAGGAUGCAAGCGUUAUCCGGAUUUAUUGGGUUUAAAGGGUGCGUAGGCGGACUUAUAAGUCAGUGGUGAAAUCUCCGAGCUUAACUCGGAAACUGCCGUUGAUACUAUUUGUCUUGAAUACUGUGGAGGUAAGCGGAAUAUGUCAUGUAGCGGUGAAAUGCUUAGAUAUGACAUAGAACACCAAUUGCGAAGGCAGCUUACUACACAGCGAUUGACGCUGAGGCACGAAAGCGUGGGGAUCAAACAGG